rnacentral:rRNA from 1 species
ACGGGAGGCAGCAGUGGGGAAUAUUGGGCAAUGGGCGAAAGCCUGACCCAGCAACGCCGCGUGAAGGAAGGAGGUCUUCGGAUUGUAAACUUCUUUUAUGAGGGACGAAGGACGUGACGGUACCUCAUGAAUAAGCCACGGCUAACUACGUGCCAGCAGCCGCGGUAAUACGUAGGUGGCAAGCGUUAUCCGGAUUUACUGGGUGUAAAGGGCGCGUAGGCGGGGAUGCAAGUCAGAUGUGAAAUCUAUGGGCUUAACUCAUAAACUGCAUUUGAAACUGUGAUUCUUGAGUAUCGGAGAGGCAAGCGGAAUUCCUAGUGUAGCGGUGAAAUGCGUAGAUAUUAGGAGGAACACCAGUGGCGAAGGCGGCUUGCUGGACGAAAACUGACGCUGAGGCGCGAAAGCGUGGGGAGCAAACAGGAUUAGAUACCCUGGUA